rnacentral:rRNA from 1 species
GUCUGUUUGAAGAUAUAAAGAGUUUAACCUGCCCACUGAAAAAAAAUAUUAAAGGGCCGCGGUAUAUUGACCGUGCAAAGGUAGCAUAAUCGUUAGUUUUUUAAUUGAAAUCUUGUAUGAAUGGUUGGACAAAAGAAAAUCUGUCUCUAUGUUAUUAAUUGAAUUUAACUUUUAAGUGAAAAGGCUUAAAUAAAUUAAAAAGACGAUAAGACCCUAUAAAGCUUGAUAUUAAAAUAUUAUUGAGUUAAAUUUUAAGUGUUAUAAAAAUUUAGUAAUAAAAUUUAUUAUAUUGGGGCGAUAAUGGUAAAAUGGUUAUUAACUGCUUAUUUUUAAAACAAAGAUAAAUGAGAAGAUUAUAAGUGAUCCUAAUUAAAGAUUAAAAGUUUAAGUUACUUUAGGGAUAACAGCGUUAUUUUUUUUGAGAGUUCUUAUCGAAAAAAAAGUUUGCGACCUCGAUGUUGAAUCAAAAUAUCUAUACAAUUGCAGUAGUUGUAUAAGAAGGUCUGUUCGACCUUUAAAUUUUUACGUGAU